AACCUAGCACACCUGCGGUGUGUACCUGCGGAAGGAUCAUUAACCGUUACAAACAGUGUGUGCUGCGGCCCCCGAGGUGAGGCAACGAGCCUUCGGGAGGUCUGGGGUCCGCCCCUUCACGCGCACGCGUCUGCCAUCCUUACUUUACGAGCACCUUCUGUUCUCCCUCGGCAUGCGUCCUGCGCUGCCGUUGGAAUUACAAAACUCUUUUUUGCAUCUAGCAUUACCUGUUCCGACAAU
rnacentral:misc_RNA from 1 species